GUACAACGAGAGGGUUAAGCAUGAGAAUUAAAGAACAUAAAGAAGAUAUUAGGACAGGGAAACUUAGCACAGCAUUGGCUAUAAAAACAUACGAAAGUGAUGUAGAUAUAAAGUGGAAUGAUGCAAACGUUAUAAAGCCAUUCCAAGAUGUUAAAGGAAUCACUACUGUAGAGAGUAUCCAGAUUGAGAAAAGGAAACAAGCAUGUGAUGUCAUUAAUGUUUAAUGAGCCAUUAAUAUUAUCAAUGUCAUGGAAUUGGUGCGCUACACAUGCAAUAUAAAUAUGGAGGAAAUGUUACUUGUUUGUUGAUUAGUUUAUUUUAUUUAGUGUUUUUAUUAAAUAUAAAUACCUAAAUUGUUUUAUA
rnacentral:lncRNA from 1 species